rnacentral:lncRNA from 1 species
GGUUUGCUAUAUCCACUUCUUCAUUGAAUUCUAGAUCAUGCUCAUUCUCAUCUUCAAAAGACCCAUGCACACUUCUCAACUCCUCAUUGUAUAAAGCAUCCUCAGUAAAAUCAUCUGAGGAGAUGUGCUCUCCUUCUAUAGAUGAUCUGCAAUAUCAACAUGAUCAGGAGGUAUAAACAAAUAAUCUUCAUGAGUGGGGCC